GCGGUCGUGGCGGAAUUGGUAGACGCGUAGCACUAAGGAUGCUAUGAACGAAAGUUCUUGGAAGUUCAAGUCUUCUCGACCGCACCA
rnacentral:tRNA from 1 species